CGGCAGCCCUUUCUCUUCCUGCGUGUGCUCGCCGCGACGGUUGUGCGGGUGUAAUCAUGGCGAAGUCCAAGAAUCACACCACCCACAACCAGUG